rnacentral:rRNA from 1 species
UACGGAGGGUGCAAGCGUUAUCCGGAUUCACUGGGUUUAAAGGGUUCGUAGGCGGCCUUCUAAGUCGAACGUGAAAUCCCUGGGCUCAACCCAGGAACCUGCGUCCGAUACUGGAAGGCUUGAAUCCGGGAGAGGGAUGCGGAAUUCCAGGUGGUAGCGGUGAAAUGCGUAGAUAUCUGGAGGAACACCGGUGGCGAAGGCGGCAUCCUGGACCGGUAUUGACGCUGAGGCGCGAAAGCCAGGGGAAGCCAAAGCGG